AACUAAAAGAAGGGCUAGCGAUGGGAGACAGAGAACGAGAUAAAGGUACCGGCGAACCCUAGACCUCUGAAGCUUUUUCCUCAGAGACGCAAAGAUGGGAGGGACGGAUCUUAUGAGUAAGAUUGUAGGGACAAUCGGACUUGGAGUUUUCGGAACUACUUGGUUUUUCAUUUACGAAGAUGCCCGUCGUCUCAUUGAGACAAGAGCACAAGAGAGAAAAAAUAGAAAAAAAAUCGAAGAAGGGAGAAUUCAUGAAUGAUGCUCCAUAACAAGGAAACAACAAGUCUCGUGUGCAGAGAUGAUUAGUCGCUGAUGUCUUUUGGUUCUUGAAUCAAAACUAUGUUUGUAUUUAUUAUGGUUGUAUGAACUCAAAAAUAUGAGGCUUGAUUCUUGAUUCUGACAUUGUUAUAUUAAUGACGAUUAGUAUUUAUGCUUA